rnacentral:tRNA from 1 species
GCGCCGGUCGGAUAGCGGCUAUUCCAGAGGACUGUAAAUCCUCCGCCCAUUGGGCAUCGAAGGUUCGAGUCCUUCCCGGCGCA